rnacentral:lncRNA from 1 species
ACACAAUUUUGUAAAAAAAUUACUAUACAUAUUUUUGGCAAGUCUAAUAAUGCUAAUGAAUUGCGUUUAGAAGGUAAUAAGUUUAGCCCAUCUUCUUUAUUUGCCAUACCACUCAUCUUUUCGUAAACACUAUUUAGAACCUUCAAUUGUUAUAACCAUUCUGCAGAAUAUUCUCUUUGGUCUAUUAAGCAGAUCAUUAAAUGAAUAACCUGGUACAUAUAUGAAUAUGGCACAUAUAUGUUUGCAUGGCCAAUGAUACUUUUCAAAAUCUAAACAUGUACAACUUGGUACAGUAAAAUCUACUACAUAUACAUUGGACCCAUUUUCACUCUGUACUUCAAACUGAUGUUCUAAUAAUGUCGUCCAUGUAGAAAAAUUGGAAUAACAUUUGAUAUUUUUUUAUAAUGAUUAUUAAGUUUAAAAUUUUUCUUCUGAUAUUUACAUAAAGAUUGUGGUAAAAAUUGUUCAAUAAUGUUUUCUAUUGUACUAUUUAGUGAUUUAUCACUAGAAAACUUCAAAUAAAAAUGUUUUAAUAAUUUAUUUUGAGAUUCAACUCCAUUAUUUGUACCAAUUUUAAUAUCAAAUUCCAAUUUAAAAAAUUUACUAGUCCAUUUUUCUUCAAUUGUAAGCCAUGUUUUAAUAAAAUAAUCUUGUGCCUUCGGAUUUUUCAACCAUACAUCAGUUAACUUCAUCUUCUCAACUUUAUGAAUAAAUUCAAUGUGGUUUCUACUGUUAGCAAUGUUCCUCCAGAGUAUCAGAAGUUCACCUUGAUUUUCUUUAAUAUUCAGAUUUCCCUGUUUAUUUGUCCAUCUUAACCAUGCCUGUUCUCGAUGGAAAUCACAUAUGUAAGUUGGGCAAUUGAAAAUCCUGGUAAUUGCAUUAUAUUCUGCUUCGCAGUAAUCUGUUAAGAAAUAUUGAGGAGACCACGUCGUAUUCCAUGAUUUAAUUAUUGUUAAACCUUCUU